CGACUGGUAGCACCACACGAGUUACAAAGAAAGCCGCGAAAUCAGCGUUAAAACGACUGUCAGCGACAAAGCAGCUACGGAUAAAAGCAAAGAGCUCUCAGCUGAAGCUACAGUUGUAAAAUUGAAAGAAGAAGUGAAUAUAUUAAAGACAGAGUCAAUUCCUUUAGCAACAUAUAACCAGCUGUUAGAUGCCAAUCAUACAAUUACAGCUGUCAAAGAUAAAUCAAAAGUUGCCGCUGAUCAA